GCCUGGGUGGCUCAGUCAGUUAAGCGUCUGACUUCAGCUCAGGUCAUGAUCUCACAGUUCAUGGGUUCGAGCCCUGUGUCAGGCU
rnacentral:tRNA from 1 species